GUGGGGAAUAUUGCACAAUGGGGGAAACCCUGAUGCAGCAACGCCGCGUGAGUGAUGACGGUCUUCGGAUUGUAAAGCUCUGUCUUUAGGGACGAUAAUGACGGUACCUAAGGAGGAAGCCACGGCUAACUACGUGCCAGCAGCCGCGGUAAUACGUAGGUGGCAAGCGUUGUCCGGAUUUACUGGGCGUAAAGGGAGCGUAGGCGGAUUUUUAAGUGGGAUGUGAAAUACCCGGGCUCAACCUGGGUGCUGCAUUCCAAACUGAAAGUCUAGAGUACAGGAGGGGAAAGCGGAAUUCCUAGUGUAGCGGUGAAAUGCGUAGAGAUUAGGAAGAACACCAGUGGCGAAGGCGGCUUUCUGGACUGUAACUGACGCUGAGGCUCGAAAGCGUGGGGAGCAAACAGGA
rnacentral:rRNA from 1 species